GGCGAAGAACAUGGUCAGUCUGAGCAGUAGGGUUGAAAUCAUCAUCCUCCAGUGUUCUGACCUUCAUCUCCAUUGCAGCUGAGGGAUCUUCCCCAUGGCCAGAAACACUCAGAUGCUGUGCAGACAGAACAAUUCUGCCUCCUGCAGAGCUGGGCCAGGCAGAGUGGCAGGCUGGCCCCAGAGAUGGGAUCCACUUCUGUGUAGAAGCACUGGUCAGGAGACAAAGGAGCAUUUGGGCCCACAAAUCUCAAGCAGUUUGCCCGAAUGCUGGAAGGAGAAGGCAGCUCCGAUGCUGCUGCAGCUUCCCUGGCUGCCAGGGGAAGUAAUAGAAUCUUAGAAUCAUCUGGGAAAAGAUCACCUGUAAGAUCAUCGAGUCAGUUAUGAAUGUAAUUCCACAAUCCACUGAGGAGCCGGUAGUUUUCUGGCUGAGGUGGGAAGUUGCUGACAUCUUGUGAUACAUGACAAGAUUGAUUGUAUUUGCUUACCCUUUAACCUAAUAAAGAAAAAUAAUGUUCCUUAGUCUCACUAAUUCUCUAUAAACUUGGACAUUGCUUUAAAUCAGCUGGAAGUGCAGGCGCUGAACCAUAUCAUUGCUGGGGCAGGAAUCUUGAUCCUCAGGCCCUUCCCAGUUCCCAGGUGAGGGGGACCAGCAUGGCAGUAUUGUCCCCAAGAGUGCCCAGCACCUCUGGGUCUGAGAGAACAGUGGUGGUCGUGGCAUGGAGGUGGCCUCUGCACCCUGUGCAUCUUGCUGGCUGGGAAAGCAUUAACCAAUUUACUGCUAAUUGUGUUAUCAC